rnacentral:piRNA from 1 species
UGUUCCUUAAGCUCUUUACCAGGGAGAU